GUAGUCCACGCCGUAAACGAUGGGCACUAGGUGCCGGGGGGAGCGACCCCUUCGGUGCCGCAGCUAACGCGAUAAGUGCCCCGCCUGGGGAGUACGGCCGCAAGGCUGAAACUCAAAGGAAUUGACGGGGGCCCGCACAAGCGGUGGAGCAUGUGGUUUAAUUCGAAGUAACGCGAAGAACCUUACCUGGGUUUGACAUCACGGGGAAAGCCUCGGGAAACCGGGGCCCUCCUUCGGAGCGCCAGCACAGGUGCUGCAUGGCUGUCGUCAGCUCGUGUCGUGAGAUGUUGGGUUAAGUCCCGCAACGAGCGCAACUCUCGCUCCCAGUUGCCAGCGGUUCGGCCGGGGACUCUGGGGGGACUGCCGGCGUUAAGCCGGAGGAAGGUGGGGACGACGUCAAGUCAUCAUGGCCCUUACGUCCAGGGCGACACACGUGCUACAAUGCCUGGUACAACGCGUCGCGAACUCGCAAGAGGGAGCCAAUCGCCAAAAGCCGGGCUAAGUUCGGAUUGUCGUCUGCAACUCGACGGCAUGAAGCCGGAAUCGCUAGUAAUCGCGGAUCAGCCACGCCGCGGUGAAUA
rnacentral:rRNA from 1 species